rnacentral:tRNA from 1 species
GCGCCAAUAGUCUAGUGGUAAGAUUUGAGCUUCCCAAGCUCGCGGCCCGGGUUCGAUUCCCGGUUGGCGCA